GAUUGUGCUGCUGUGUCAUGUGUUACGUGUUUUCUUUAUUUUGGGAGGGGAGUCCCAACAAGACAAUUCCUUCCAUCUCCCGCGUUCCUUAUUUUCCCCUUGCUACCCUGCUCUACCCGAGGCUAUCCUCUUUUCUGAUUCGUUCUCCCCCAAUCUCCCCUCCUCUUCCCGGCAGCAGAUAGAAGCUGUACCUGUUCCUCUGCGAUUUGGGCUCGUCUUAGCUCCUGGUGCUCAAAAGCUCAAGCCUUUCCAGGGCUGGGAGGCGACAAAUCGGAGGGGAUUCGGAGCGCAAAGUUUUGUAUCCAGGGGGGAAAAGGUUUUCUGCAUCCAAAGUUGGGCGCUUUUGCUUAUCUGCUUAAUAGAAAUCGCUUGCUUUGUGUGGGAAAGCCAGAUCUUGUCCACAGAUUCGGGUUUGAAAUCUGUGAGUGAGUCGACGAACAAGAUUUCGAUAGGGUUGUUGCUAGCAGGCUCGCUUUGAAGAUCUUGAUCACCACAAGAAAUUUGCAGUUAUUGUGCCUUAUCACUGGACAUGUCCUUCCGCAGCAUAGUCCGUGAUGUUAGGGAAAGCUUUGGUAGCUUAUCAAGACGGAGUUUUGGGGUUAGAAUUUCUGGUCUGCCUGGUCUUGGUCAUCACAGAGGGAAAUCUGUUGGAUCUGUGAGCAACCUGCACGAUGGACCUAUAGUAGUUGAUCAAAGCAGGUGGGUUGGUCUUCCUCCCGAGUUGCUUCGAGAUGUAAUGAAAAGGCUUGAGGAAGGCGAGAGCACAUGGCCAUCCCGCAAAGAUGUUGUUGCAUGCGCAGCAGUUUGUGGAACAUGGAGAGAGAUAUGUAAGGAUAUAGUGCCGACUCCGGAAUUUGGUGGGAAGCUCACUUUUCCAGUGUCACUUAAACAGCCGGGACCUAGAGAUGGAAUAAUACAGUGUUUUAUAAAAAGGGACAAAUCAGCAUCAACUUAUUUAUCUUUACCUAUGUCUUAGUCCUGCUGUCCUCAGUGAGAAUGGGAAAUUUCUACUAGCAGCUAAGAGGAAUCGCCGUACAACUUAUACUGAGUACAUCAUUUCUAUGGAUCCUAAAAAUAUAUCACGUUCAAGUAAUGGCUAUAUUGGAAAAAUGAGGUCAAAUUUUCUUGGCACGAAAUUCGUCAUAUACGACACUCAGCCGCCAUACAAUGCUGGGAGCCUUGUCUCAUGUGGGCGUGGCAGUCGUAGAAUCUCCUCUAGGCGUGUUUCCCCCAAGGUACCUGCUGCUAGCUAUCCCAUUGCCCGGGUGAACUAUGAGCUGAACGUGCUUGGCACAAGGGGGCCCAGGCGUAUGAAUUGCACCAUGCAUUCCAUCCCAGCCUCAGCACUGGAACCUGAAGGCAUGGUCCCUGGUCAACCCACACAGCUCUUCCUCCCUGGCUCGUCUGCCUAUGAAGAAUCCUUUCGCAGUGUGAAUACUGCUUCCAGCUCAAGGUUCUCGGUUACAGACCACUCCUUGGACUUCAGCUCCUCUCGUUUCUCAGAGGUAAGCAGAGUGAUCCAGCAAGGUGAGGAUGACAGUCAGGCCAAGGAGAGGCCUUUGGUUCUUCGCAAUAAAGAGCCAAGGUGGCACGAGCAGCUGCAGUGUUGGUGCCUUAACUUCCGUGGCCGGGUGACAGUGGCUUCUGUGAAGAACUUCCAGUUGAUAGCUGCGCCAUUGCUAGAUGAUGUGCCCUCUGAAUUGUCGCAAGAGGCUCAGCAGCAAACCCAGCCUUCGAGUUCAUCUUCAGCAUCGGAUCAUGAUAAGGUGAUCCUGCAGUUUGGAAAGGUUGCCAAGGACAUGUUCACAAUGGACUACCGAUACCCACUCUCAGCAUUCCAGGCCUUCACCAUCUGUUUGACUAGCUUUGACACCAAGCUGGCUUGUGAAUAGAUUAGAGAUAAGAACAUGCAUUUAGGUCAGUAAGUAUUUAUAUGGUGCGUGCGCUAGUGUAGUUUGUUGACGUGUUGAUUCCGUCCUUUGUUGUGUGGCUUGUCAAAGCUAAGAACCGGCAAUUGUUCUGAGCUGCAGGAUUUUUCAUGUCUGUAACCUGUAAUGGCAAAACGUGCAGACAUUACCUCUAGUCUUCCAGGUUCCAAUUCGGUAAUUCCUUGAUGGUUUCAGUCUUUGA